UCAAAUCUCUCCCAAAUCUCUCUAAGUAUGUGAAAUCUCUCCCAAAUACCUCUUUGUAUGAGAAAUCUCUCCAAAAAUGUCAAAUCUCUCCCAAAUCUCUCCAAGUAUGUGAAACCUCUCCCAAAUAUCUCUUUGUAUGAGAAAUCUCUCCAAGAAUGUCAAAUCUCUCUAAGUAUGUGAAAUCUCUCCCAAAUAUCUCUUUGUAUGAGAAAUCUCUCCAAGAAUGUCAAAUCUCUCCCAAAUCUCUCUAAGUAUGUGAAAUCUCUCCCAAAUAUCUCUUUGUAUGAGAAAUCUCUCCAAGAAUGUCAAAUCUCUCCCAAAUCUCUCCA
rnacentral:lncRNA from 1 species